rnacentral:rRNA from 1 species
GCAAGUCGAGCGGACGGAUGGGAGCUUGCUCCCUGAAGUCAGCGGCGGACGGGUGAGUAACACGUGGGCAACCUGCCUGUAAGACUGGGAUAACUCCGGGAAACCGGGGCUAAUACCGGAUAAUUCUUCCCUUCACAUGAGGGGGAGCUGAAAGAUGGUUUCGGCUAUCACUUACAGAUGGGCCCGCGGCGCAUUAGCUAGUUGGUGAGGUAACGGCUCACCAAGGCGACGAUGCGUAGCCGACCUGAGAGGGUGAUCGGCCACACUGGGACUGAGACACGGCCCAGACUCCUACGGGAGGCAGCAGUAGGGAAUCUUCCGCAAUGGACGAAAGUCUGACGGAGCAACGCCGCGUGAGUGAUGAAGGUUUUCGGAUCGUAAAACUCUGUUGUCAGGGAAGAACAAGUGCCGGAGUAACUGCCGGCACCUUGACGGUACCUGGCCAGAAAGCCACGGCUAACUACGUGCCAGCAGCCGCGGUAAUACGUAGGUGGCAAGCGUUGUCCGGAAUUAUUGGGCGUAAAGCGCGCGCAGGCGGUUCCUUAAGUCUGAUGUGAAAGCCCACGGCUCAACCGUGGAGGGUCAUUGGAAACUGGGGAACUUGAGUGCAGAAGAGGAGAGUGGAAUUCCACGUGUAGCGGUGAAAUGCGUAGAGAUGUGGAGGAACACCAGUGGCGAAAGCGACUCUCUGGUCUGUAACUGACGCUGAGGCGCGAAAGCGUGGGGAGCAAACAGGAUU